AGAGUUUGAUCAUGGCUCAGGAUGAACGCUGGCGGCGUGCCUAACACAUGCAAGUCGAGCGGCAGCGAGGGGUGCUUGCACCCUGUCGGCGAGCGGCGGACGGCUGAGUAACGCGUGGGAAUUUGCCCCAAAGUGAGGGAUAACUGCCCGAAAGGGUGGCUAAUACCGCAUAUGAUCUUCGGAUUAAAGGAUUUAUCCGCUUUGGGAGAAGCCCGCGUCGGAUUAGGUAGUUGGUGAGGUAACGGCUCACCAAGCCGACGAUCCGUAGCUGGUCUGAGAGGAUGACCAGCCAGACUGGAACUGAGACACGGUCCAGACUCCUACGGGAGGCAGCAGUGAGGAAUCUUCCACAAUGGGGGCAACCCUGAUGGAGCAACGCCGCGUGCAGGAUGAAGGCCUUCGGGUUGUAAACUGCUUUUAUAAGUGAGGAAUAUGACGGUAACUUAUGAAUAAGGAUCGGCUAACUACGUGCCAGCAGCCGCGGU
rnacentral:rRNA from 1 species